CCGGUCUCACUCUGCCCCUGAGGGUUAGGGCUGUAAGGCGGCUCAGACCCCACCCUUAGGCUACUUGGUUGCUGGGUUACCAGCUCCCACCCGUUUCUAGCUCUGCCACCCUGAGGGCGGAGCUUGCCGGGGCAGAUCACUGACAAUGGUACCAUGUGACCCAUCGCCAAACACUAUUAGCUCCAUCUGGCUCAGCGGCUCAGACUGGGGCCCUAGACAACGGCCAAAGUUCUUCGCACUCCCGCUCAGGCCUUCCCCAAGGCAGUUCAACUCAGUGCCAAGUCCAAGGACAUCAAAACAGUUCACAGGACUUCUCUCCAUCUGGCCUGUACUAAAGGCCAUUUAGCAGUGGUGAUUCUCCUGCUGGAAAGAUGGUGCCAACUUCACAUCUGUGACAGAGAAAAGAGGACACCUGUGAUGAAGAAAAGAACAAGUUAGUACCUUUUAUCAAAACAUCAACCUCGUGGAGCCAGGUCUACUUCAGCCAUAUGAACAUGUUAUAAAGAAUUUUAUUCGUGAGAUUAAACUUCAAAGCACAGAAAUGGAAAACCUGGCCAUUGCAGUGAAGAGAGCCCAGGACAAGUAGUGGAGUGAGUUGGAAGAGGAAAUGGAUCAGAGGAUUCAGGCUGCGGAGCAUAAGACACGGAAAGACAAGAAUGUAUAGCCGAGGAAGCCCUCAGUGACCUCAGGCGUCAGUAUGAAAUGGAAGUGGGAGAUCUGCAGGUGACCAACAAAAAGCUUUAAAAGCUGAUAUCACUAAAUUCAGAGUUGAGAAGACUGUAGACUGUCCCCUGCUGUUACAGCUGGCUCCAGCACUGCACCAGGCUCACUUCUCACAUCUUGAAGAACAAUCAAAACACAUAAGUCAAAAGGAAGAUGUGGCAGCACUGAAAAAGCAAAUUUACGAUUUAUUCAUGGAAAAUCAGAAAGUUAAGAAAGAUCUUUUAGAAGCACAAACAUCGCCUUUCUUCAGAGUGAAUUAGAUGCUUUGAAAAGUGAUUAUGCUGAUCAGAGUCUGAAUUCUGAAAGAGACCUGGAAAUAAUCUGAGAGUACACAGAAGAUCAAAAUAGUCUUGAGAGGCAAAUUAAAAUACUCCAAACAGCUAACCGGAAGCUUCACGACAGUAACAAUGGCCUUAGGAGUGCCCUCGAAAACAGUUACAGCAAGUUCAACAGAUCCUUGGUAGGCCAUGUAAUGUUAUAAUGUAUUUCGUUCUUUCUAGUGGUAGGGUAUUUUAAAGGUGAUGAAUAUCAUGUAAUUUCUUAGAGAACUUCAUGUAGAUUCUUUUAAUAAUGAAAACCUCUUUCCUUCAAAUAAAAAGAGGCAAUGUUUUCCAAAUUAAAAAAAUAUAUAUAUGCUACUUCUCUGCAGAAAUAAAUGCCUU